rnacentral:rRNA from 1 species
GAUGAACGCUGGCGGCGUGCCUAAUACAUGCAAGUCGAGCGAACAGACGAGGAGCUUGCUCCUCUGACGUUAGCGGCGGACGGGUGAGUAACACGUGGAUAACCUACCUAUAAGACUGGGAUAACUUCGGGAAACCGGAGCUAAUACCGGAUAAUAUAUUGAACCGCAUGGUUCAAUAGUGAAAGACGGUUUUGCUGUCACUUAUAGAUGGAUCCGCGCCGCAUUAGCUAGUUGGUAAGGUAACGGCUUACCAAGGCAACGAUGCGUAGCCGACCUGAGAGGGUGAUCGGCCACACUGGAACUGAGACACGGUCCAGACUCCUACGGGAGGCAGCAGUAGGGAAUCUUCCGCAAUGGGCGAAAGCCUGACGGAGCAACGCCGCGUGAGUGAUGAAGGUCUUCGGAUCGUAAAACUCUGUUAUUAGGGAAGAGCAAAUGUGUAAGUAACUAUGCACGUCUUGACGGUACCUAAUCAGAAAGCCACGGCUAACUACG